AUAGUACUCCCUCCGUCCAAAAAUACAGAUCACCAAAAUGGAUAAAAAGGGGUGUAUCUAGAACUAAAAUACGUCUAGAUACAUUCCCUUUAAUUCAUUUUGAUGACAAGUAUUUCUGGACGGAGGGAGUAUAAG
rnacentral:pre_miRNA from 1 species